CUUGUCAUAAAAAAAACAAGAAAGAAGAAAUUUAAAGUGAUACAUUGUAGAAUGUUAAACCUGUAAAUUUUUAGUCAAUGUGUUCUGGAGCAUUUGGCAUCAAACCUUAACAAUAUGACUCAACGUAAAUUUUUUCCAUUUGAAGUAGUAUUGGUCCUUUGAGCUAAAGACUACUGGAGUUCUCCAUCUCUGCUUGAUUAUCUCAUCCUUUCAAACACAUCCAAGCGAGAGCUCAUUCUAGCGCUGAAUAAAACUGUGUUCUGUUCUGAUACUAUUAUAUUAUUAGGACACAAAUUUUGACUGUUCUUUUGAAAUUGAAAGUACUUCCAUUGGCUAACUAACUUUAUAGCAAGAAACUGGUUUUUAAGUCGGACAUAUUUAAGUACACCAAUUUAUUUUCCCAGUAUAAACAAUGCUUUUAUCUUCUUUUAUUCCUUUACUGCUAUUCAAGCUUUUAAGUUAGAAAUCUUCAGAAGUACUUGUAUUAUAUGAUCAAUUCCUAGAUGAUAUUCAGAUCACCGAUGCACUUUCUCCUAAUCUUCUGCUUCUCCAAAGUACUCAGGUACUGAUGAUGUUGGAUUGUUGAGUGACUUUUUGUAAUUGCUAAUACUAAUCCUACAAGUUAAAGGGAGUGAGAGGAGAGAUUAGGUAGUGGAGAUAAAGCACCUCAAAUAAUUUUUUAUGAGUAGUCAUCAUAUAACAUUAUAACCCAAAAGAGGAAAGGAAGUUCUCAUAGAUUUGGAGAAAUUUCCUAAAGCAUUUGAAUUGCUUCACUCUGAAGGGAAAACAAGGUAUUUGUGAAAUAUCAGAAUGAUACAUCUAAAGUAUAUCAUAUGCAAUGAUGGAAAUUUUUCCUUUUAGAUGCAAAUCAUUUGAAUAUUGCAGCUGGUAAUAGUUGAACGGAGCCUAGAAGAACAAAAUUAGUGAUGCAUAGGUUGAUAUGGAUGUUCUUCUGAGGUGAGUGAGGGACUGUCUCAAAUUGAAGUACUAAGGUUGGACUUGGAAAAUGGUCUCUAACUAUGACAAGCCUCCAAACUAUACAACUGGUAACAGUUGAAUGGAGCUCUGUGGAAAAAAAAAACUAGUGAUGCAUAGGCUGAUAUAGAUGUUGUGCGAGGAACUGUCUCAAAUUAAAAAUACUAUGGUUGGGUUAGAGAAUGGCCUCUCACUGUAACAAGUCUAUACUUCAUGCCUCCAAGGUAUGCAACUCUUAUGUUCCAUCAAGGCAUGCAACUAUUCAGAACCUCUUUGUACUCAAAAGUAUGUUCAAAAAGAGACAUACCUCAAUCCUGCUAAUGAACCUCACGCGCAAACCCCGAUGUUCAACAAUUGAUCUGUAGAGUUUGUCCUCAAAAUAUCCCUUCAAAGCUACUGGAUCGAGUGCUUGAAAUCUAUGGAUUUGGAUGAUAAUUUGGGUGUUAAUUCACGAUAAAACAAUGUUAUGAUCACAGGGAUAGAGUAACAACUCACCUUUGAUGUUUGGAUUAGGCUCUAGGGUGUUUUAUCUCCAAGAAGAUCAUCCAAAAGGAAGGGGAACAAAAAUCCCGACCUAACACGUAUUAAUAGAGCACAGUCCACAGCUGACCGGGAAGAGCAGGUCUGCAUGCCACAAUGGCCAUCGCGUUGAACCUGACACCACGUCCCACUAUACAUCUCGGUGAAUCUCAGUGCAAUGGGCAGUGCGCCUCACUAAGGGGUCGUUUGGUAGAGUGUCUUAACAAAAAUAAUGCAUCAUUAUCUUUGUGUAUUAGUAGUCCCUUGUUUGGUACACUUUUUCCUACUAUGUAUGACUAAUGCUUGCAUUAGUUAUACACUCUAUUGUGUAUUGAGGAGUGUAUUACUAAUACCAUGGUUCUAGGUAUUAGUAAUGCAAAGGGAUUUAAUACAUGCAUUAACAUGGUUAAAGACUAAACUACCUCUCAAAAGCAGUUUUAGAUCUUUUACACCAUAUUGUGGAGGAUAUUUUUGUACAAUGCAUACUAUUUUAAUACAUCAAACCAAACAAUGCAUAAAAAAUAUCUAUGCUUAACUAAUGCAAGCAUAACUAAUACAAGCAUUACUAAUACACUCUAUUUAACAUUAUUCUUAUACACUCUACCAAACGACCCCUAAAGGUUUUGGGCACCCCCACACUUCAAAUACUUUCGAAUUAUUUUUAUUUCUACACAUUCACCGCGCCACACCGCCCGUCGUGGUGACUUUCAGUGCAAUGGGCACUGCACUGCCCAUUUCUCGAACACUUAGAAGAAUUUUCAAUGCUCGAUUUAUAGUAAACACUCAUAACUUUUUGUACAGUGUUCUGAUCGGUGAAUGGCUCGAAUUGUUGGAACCCAAACUCAAUUUCCUUAACUAGGAUAGAUCUCACCUCCCAUACGAAAUUAUUCAUGGUCCAGGUUGAAUCACACACAUUUAGCUAGUUCAUACAUAACCCAAACUUAUGGAUGUUACAAAGAUGUUAUCCUUGUGGCAGUAGUUAUUGUUCCAUCUCCGAAGCACCCUUAUAUGUUUGUAGUGAUGACUUCUCUUGAAGUAGAAACUACACAGCUCAUUCAGUGGAUUCAGUGGCUGUAUUAUGUUACUUUAGUCCUAUUUUUCUAUUAGAAUAUUUAGGAGAUGCUUUCUAGGACCAUGUUCGUUGGCGGUUGCUUUGUUUAUUUUGGGGCAUCAACUAUGUACCUGUUUAACGACACCUUUUCUGCAAACUUUCUUCCUUUUCUUUUUCUUUUUGAGAGGUAAACUAUUUACCUCUUUAUUGGCACCUUUAUACAGACUUUUCUUCCCCUUUUGGCAUUGAGAAGGUUAGGGUUGAUUGAAACUGAAUUUUUCAUGCACUGACUUUUGGCAAUUUCCCCGUAUAAUCAUGCAGAAAGAUGACACGUUUUAUACUACCUCUCUAAUAAUACCAAAACAAGAAUCAACCUCCAAUUCUGUAAGUAAUUAAACAUUUGAAAAUUGUUGUUUUAUUCAUGGCCAAUUUGGUAAGCAGAACAAGAUUCUAACUUAUUUGUACUUGCUGCUAGUGUCAAGCCCUACAAGAGGAGGAGAUGUUUGCCAUACUACAUGGACAAUCCCUCUUUCCAAUCGGAUGGAUUCAUGUAAGUUCUCUCUCUUUCUCAAUUUCCUUUAAUGUGCUUCGUAUAUAUUUGGAUGAAAUUUCUCUAAUUCCUAUAUGUAAUGCUCAUUAAUCCUGAAAUUAAGGUGAUAAAUAAUUGAAUAAGAGCUGAAUUUUAAGCGACUUAAUGCAUUUGGCGUCAAACCUGUACAUUACUUGUUAAUGGAGAAUUACGUAACUUACUGAAUAGAAUAGGGGAAUUUAAAUAUACAACUAUGCUAUAUACAAUCUAGAGUGAUAACAAAAAACUUACGAUGAUAUUAAAGAGUAAGGGGAAAAAGAUCAAUCCAUCCAUAGUGGAGGAAUUUUGGUAAAUUUAUCGUGAAUAUGACCUUCCUUCCCAUAAAGGGAGUUUCUUGUUCCGUUUCUAACAAGGAUGAUGAGCAACAAUGACAUGAAUUCAAUACUAACAAAAAAGGUAAGCCCAACGCUAUGUUUCAAUAACAAUGAAGGGCUAUUAUACUAGAAGGAAAGGGCUUCAGGAGAGAUUGUUAGAUUGGAUGGGUGUAGUCGAUCGAUCGAACUAUGAUGAUUGGAAUGAAGACAGAUAACAUGCUGCAAACUCUGGUUUGAGUUUCUUUUGUCUUCCAUAAAAUGAGAUUCAAGAGUUUUUCUGAGUAAGGUAACAUAUUCAUCAGCACAAAGAUUGUGCUGGCAACUGUAAAACACAAAGAUUGACAUUCAAGAGUUUGAAGAACCUUUAAUCUGUUCAUAUGGGACUUUAUGUUCUGUAACUUAAAUAACAUCGAGAUGAUUAAAUAUGUAAGAAAAUCCUGAACUCCACUAUUAUAGAAUCUUCAGAGAAUGUGUUAGAGCUAUUAUAUGGUUUGAGUUUCAACAAGGAUGAUUUUUGUCUGUUGUAAGCUUCAUCUUUAAUAGUCUACAGGGAAACUUUAAAUAUGAACUGGCUAGUUCGAAUUGAUUGUUAAGUUCAGUACUCUUAUUUCCAUUAUCCUUAAGGUAAUAACUGAAAACAUGUAAUUGAAAAUCAACUUUUAUUGCCAUUGGCUUCCUUCUUUGUACUUUCCUAUGUCUAGUUCACAUGUUUCGGCAAUUACAUAGCUAAGGGCAUGUAGGUCGGCAUAACUUAAUGUGUGACACUUCUAUCAUAUCUCCAGACACAUCCGUCUCAGACCUGUUUCAUGUCAUCGAUCGAUUUGCACACUCAAUAUUCGUAUCAGGUACGUUUACUCCUGAUGGAUUUAUACCUUUGUGCAUUUCAUUAUUGGAGAUAAUUCAAACGUUGAGAAUGUAAUGGAUGAGAUUACUUUAUUCUGUAGGUUUGUGAUUGAUAGAACCGAGUUACAGGUAUAACUUGUGGUACAAGAUAUGAUUGGAAUAGCUAAAAUUAUUUCUGUAAAUUAUAGAUAAUAUGUGUGUCAAACUAAGAAAAUGUUCCUUUUCUAGCUUCCACACUUUUCACUUACAAGUAAAACUGAAUAUUUCUAUCACAGAAAUCAGCAUAGUUCCACCAUUCUUGGAAACACUGAAGAAGGUAGGCAAACCAAAACUAUAGUGCAAUGCGUGAUUUAGUAGAAAUAGUAACUUUGGUCUUUGAAUUUGUACAGUCGUACAGGAGCACAGAAAUUUAAAUCUAAAAUAUUGGGAGUUCACAUGUUUAUGCUGCACUUUUAAACUGAGAGAUCAAGAAACUCUGCCUACCAAAUGAACAUAUGAUUCAUUGUACUUAGUUACUUUUGAAACACUAACCUUGAUUAAUUGUGAAUAGGGAGUCAUUACUCGCGUUUUAUGUGCUAUAAAUUUAGAAGAGCAAAUUUAAAUGAAAUUAGCAGUCUCAUACUUCUUUUUUUCUUUCCAUUUUUACCAUCCACCUGUCAACUCAAUAGUUCACUUUAACAACUUCAAUUUAUAGGACAAUGUCUCAACUUCAAAUUUAUACCUAUGUCCAUUUGGAAUUGAACUCAUCAAGCCAUUUCUUGUGUUAAGACUGUCAAGAAGUCACAUAAAUUAUAUCAACUAAAGCAGUUUUCUUAACAUUCUACAUUUAACAUAUUGCAUUCAGCAUUACUUCCCAAGAUUUCCCACUAAACUUAUGUGAAGUUAUUGUGCUGCAAUACACUUUGGCAUUGUUAUAAUUUACCUCUGCGCUUUUUGCUGUAUCUUUUCACUUCCUGAUAUUUAUUUUUUAGGUCAUGGUACCUGAGGCUAUUGGAAUUGUCAUGGCUCCUACCGAUACAUCAAGGUCUUUUUCUUGUUCUUAGCUCAUUUAGUCCAAGAGUACUUGUCAAGUUGAGAGUAGUUUGAAACACAGAGAUAGCCAUAACUUAUUUAUCUUUAUUUGGAAUGUGUUAGGGCAUACGGAAUAUUUCGGCUAUCUGACGGUGGAAAGAAAAUCCUCAAGGACUGCCCAGAGAAAGGAUUUCAUCUUCAUAAAGAACCAGUUGAUGGGAGUCCCCUCUACGGGGAUUGCUCCAAUGUCUAUAUUAAUUCAUGUCUAAGACUAGAGAUAUUUGAUUUACGGUGACCAGAUGAAGUAGAAUUUAUGUCCUGUUGAAAUGCAAGCAGACUGUCAAAACUACAGUGAUAAAAGAACUAGUAAAUGUUGUAAUGAUUUAAGAUGAAUAAAAAUCUGUGGUGUUGGUGGAGGGAAAAUUGAAUCUUACACUGUAGUAUAGGGGCACAAUUGAAUCAUUUUGUAUAUUGUAAUGGUAGAUCUGGUCCACUUUAAUUUAAUUAUUGCCAAUCAGUGCAACCACUGGUGUAGAUUAUAUGGAUCAUCUCUUUUUUUAUAUUUUUAAUUUAAUUCUUGGUAUACUUUUCUUAUGCUAAAAGAUGAAAUAAGUGAACUACACAAAUCACACUACUUUAGAUCCUAAUUACUAGAAUUUACGAUAGUUUUUUAUAUUACUUUUUAUACCAUUUUUCGGCCUUUGGAUACAUGUACCAUUAUAUGUCAGAAACAUGUAUCCAUAAAAUUUAAUAGGCGAAAUAUACUAUUUAUUACAUUUGAAUUAAAGACUUGUAACUUAUUUCCUUCAUUAAAGGAGUUAAUGAUGAAUAAUUAACAACCAAAAUGGAGUUAAUAUCUUAGACGGUCACUCAAUUUUGAAUAGUUUACUUAGAAAGUCACUCAACUUUGAGUUGUUCACUUGGAAAGUCACUCAACUAUUGGUGUUUCACUUUAACAGUUGAUUGAAGCUCUGUACUAGUGAUUCAUAGGCUGAUAUAGAUGUUGUGCGAGUAAUUGUCUCAAAUUAAAAAUAAUAUGGUUGAGUUAGAGAAUGAUCUCUCACCGUAACAAGUCUAUACUUCUACUCUCCAAGUUAUGCAACUAUUAUGUUCCAUCAAGGCAUGCAACUAUUCAAAACCUCUUUGUAGUCAAAAGUAUGUUAAAAAUGAGACAUACCUCAAUCUUGAUAAUGAACCUCACGCGCAAACCCCGACGUUCAACAAUUUAUAUGUAUAGUUUGUCCUCAAAAUAUCCCUUCAAAGCUAUUAAAUCGAGUUCUUGAGAUCUAUAGCUUUGGAUGAUAAUUUGUGGGUUAAUUCGCGAUAAAACAAUGUUAGAAUCACAGGGAUAGAGUAAGAACUCACCUUCGAUGUUUGGAUUAAGCUCUAG
rnacentral:lncRNA from 1 species